rnacentral:rRNA from 1 species
GUCCACGCCGUAACGUUGGAACUAGGUGUGGGCCUCAUUCCACGAGGUCUGUGCCGCAGCUAACGCAUUAAGUUCCCGCCUGGGAGUACGGCCGCAAGGCUAAACUCAAAGGAAUUGACGGGCCCGCACAAGCGGCGGAGCAUGUGGAUUAAUUCGAUGCAACGCGAAGAACCUUACCAAGGCUUGACAUAUACCGGAAACACCCAGAGAUGGGUGCCCCGCAAGGUCGGUAUACAGGUGGUGCAUGGUUGUCGU